GGACUCCUUGGGGUUUUUUUGCUGUUUUGGGGUUUUUAGCAGUGCCAUGCUCUCCCUGCUCUGUUUCCUGAGGACUCCUUGGGGUUUUUUGCUGUUUUGGGUGUUUUGGCAGCGCCAGGCUCACUCCUGGCUGUGUUUUCUCACGAUUCCUUGGGGUUUUUUGCUGUUUUUGGGUAUUUUGGCAGCGCCAUGCUCCCCCUGCUCUGUUUCCUCAGGACUCCUUGGGGUUGUUUUGCUGUUUUGGGUAUUUUGCCAGCACCAGGCUCACCCCAGCUCUGUUUCCUGAGGACUGCUUGGGGUUGUUUUGCUGUUUUUGGGUAUUUUAGCAGNUCCUUACGGUGAAUUUGCCUUUCUCCGCUGCAGGCGCUCGCUCCCCGGUGGAUCAGGAGGCGCUGCCCCGGUGACCGGAGGUGGGGAUGGGCCGGCGCUCCUCGGACACGGAGGAGGAGGGCAGGAGCCGCAGGAAGAAGAAGCACCGGCGGCGCUCCUCCUCCAGCAGCUCCUCGGACAGCCGCGCCUACAGCCGCAAAAAGUCGGGCCGCAAAUCCAGGUCCAGGUCGCGCUCCCGGGAUCUCCCGUCCUGGUCCCACUCCUAUGAGAAAAGGCGCAGGCACAGAUCCAGCAGCAGCUCCUCCUACGGCUCCAGGAGGAAGCGCAGCCGCUCCCGGGGCAGAGGCAAAUCCUACAGAUCCCAAAGGUCCAGGUCAAAGAGCAGGACCAGGAGGGACUCUGCAAACAUCAAAGCUGGAUUAGAACAUCUGGUAAGUUUUAAUUUUCUCUUGAACAUUUGCAUCAUCUUUGAUAUCUGCAUUCCAAAUGAACACUUUUGAAUGAGCUUUGAAUACCUUGAAUUGAGAAAGUCAACCAUUUCCCAGAGGGUCAGGCUACAGUUAUUAUGUGAAGGCACUCACAUUUUCAUUUAUCUCCCCAUUUCAAGGGAAUUUUAAUUUUUUUAAAUUACUUUUUUUUGAUGUCGAGAUGAAAUAAACUGGACUACAAUCCUUGGAUUGAUGAUUGC
rnacentral:lncRNA from 1 species